AUGGCCUGGACCUUGCUCCUCCUGUGCUUCCUGGCUCACUGCACAGGUUCUCUGUCUUCCUAUGAGGUGAAUCAGGCACCCUCAUUCUCUGUAAGCCUGAGAGGGGAGGCCAAGAUGACCUGUGCGGGAGACAGCAUUGGAAGCAAACAUGUUUCCUGGUACCAGCAGAAGCCAGGCCUGGCCCCUGUGCUGGUCAUCUUCAAGGAUAGUGAACGACCCUCAGGGAUACCUGAUUGUUUCUCUGGCUCCAACUCUGGGAACCUGGCCACGCUGACCAUCACGGGAGUCCCGGCUGAGGAUGAGGCUGACUAUUACUGUGCAGCAGCUGGUAGCAUUGAGGGCAGCUGGCAGUAUCCACAGUGGCACAGACACUGA